GAGAAAGCGUCAGGAGCAUCGGCCUCUUCAUCAGGGGCUAGAGAUUUCUCGUAUCCGUGGACUUUUAUACCAUUUCAAAAGCUCAACUUCUCCAUUGGUAACAUUUUAGAGUGUUUGAGAGAUGAAAAUGUGAUUGGGAAAGGCUAUUCUGGUGUUGUCUACAAGGCUGAAAUGCCUAAUGGGGAGUUGAUUGCAGUAAAAAAGCUUUGGAAAACAAAACGAGAAGAAGAAGCAGUGGAUUCAUUUGCAGCAGAAAUUCAAAUUCUAGAACACAUUCGACAUCGGAAUAUUGUGA
rnacentral:misc_RNA from 1 species